CCUACGGGAGGCUGCAGUGGGGAAUAUUGGACAAUGGGGGCAACCCUGAUCCAGCCAUGCCGCGUGUGUGAAGAAGGCCCUCGGGUUGUAAAGCACUUUCAGUGAGGAAGAACGCCUGGUGGUUAAUACCCAUCAGGAAAGACAUCACUCACAGAAGAAGCACCGGCUAACUCCGUGCCAGCAGCCGCGGUAAUACGGAGGGUGCGAGCGUUAAUCGGAAUUACUGGGCGUAAAGCGCGCGUAGGUGGCUUGAUAAGCCGGUUGUGAAAGCCCCGGGCUCAACCUGGGAACGGCGUCCGGAACUGUCAAGCUAGAGUGCAGGAGAGGAAGGUAGAAUUCCCGGUGUAGCGGUGAAAUGCGUAGAGAUCGGGAGGAAUACCAGUGGCGAAGGCGGCCUUCUGGACUGACACUGACACUGAGGUGCGAAAGCGUGGGUAGCAAACAGGAUUAGAUACCCCUGUAGUC
rnacentral:rRNA from 1 species